rnacentral:rRNA from 1 species
AGAGUUUGAUUAUGGCUCAGAACGAACGCUGGCGGCGCGUUUUAAGCAUGCAAGUCGAGCGGCAAGGGUCUUCGGGCCCCUAGAGCGGCGGACGGGUGAGUAACACGUGGACAAUCUGCCCCCCGGCCGGGGAUAGCCCAGGGAAACCUGGAUUAAUACCGGAUGAGACGGGACCCGCGGAGGCGGGAUCCGGGAAAGGCGCUGCGGCGCCGCCGGGGGAUGAGUCUGCGUCCCAUUAGCUUGACGGCGGGGUAACGGCCCACCGUGGCGACGAUGGGUAGCCGGCCUGAGAGGGUGUACGGCCACAUUGGAACUGAGACACGGUCCAGACUCCUACGGGAGGCAGCAGCUAAGAAUCUUCCGCAAUGGGCGAAAGCCUGACGGAGCGACGCCGCGUGAACGAAGAAGGCCGUGAGGUUGUAAAGUUCUUUUCGGGAGGGGGAACAACCGUGGCAGGGAAUGGCCGCGGGAUGACGUGAAUCCCGGAAUAAGCCCCGGCUAACUACGUGCCAGCAGCCGCGGUAACACGUAGGGGGCGAGCGUUGUUCGGAAUCAUUGGGCGUAAAGGGCGUGCAGGCGGUCCUGCAAGUCCGGCGUGAAAGACCCCGGCCCAACCGGGGGGGCGCGCUGGAAACUGCAGGGCUUGAGUACAGGAGGGGAUGCCGGAAUUCCAGGUGUAGGGGUGAAAUCUGUAGAUAUCUGGAGGAACACCAAUGGCGAAAGCAGGCAUCUGGCCAUGUACUGACGCUGAGACGCGAAGGUGCGGGGAGCAAACAGGAUUAGAUACCCUGGUAGUC